CCUACGGGGGGCAGCAGUGGGGAAUAUUGCACAAUGGGCGCAAGCCUGAUGCAGCCAUGCCGCGUGUGUGAAGAAGGCCUUCGGGUUGUAAAGCACUUUCAGCGGGGAGGAAGGCGUUAAGGUUAAUAACCUUGGCGAUUGACGUUACCCGCAGAAGAAGCACCGGCUAACUUCGUGCCAGCAGCCGCGGUAAUACGGAGGGUGCAAGCGUUAAUCGGAAUUACUGGGCGUAAAGCGCACGCAGGCGGUCUGUCAAGUCGGAUGUGAAAUCCCCGGGCUCAACCUGGGAACUGCAUUCGAAACUGGCAGGCUAGAGUCUUGUAGAGGGGGGUAGAAUUCCAGGUGUAGCGGUGAAAUGCGUAGAGAUCUGGAGGAAUACCGGUGGCGAAGGCGGCCCCCUGGACAAAGACUGACGCUCAGGUGCGAAAGCGUGGGGAGCAAACAGGAUUAGAUACCCGUGUAGUC
rnacentral:rRNA from 1 species